rnacentral:lncRNA from 1 species
AUGUUGAACUUUUGUUACCCACAUAUCCAGAUGAUGCUGCGUAACAUUUUGCGCAAUGACUCUGUCGGUGUGACCGAGGCGUCAGAACAAGUGACAUUUCCCUGUCUCUCUGGCUGUUCUUAUCGUUACCAGGACUAUGUGUCUCUCUGGCUGUUCUUAUCGUUACCAGGACUAUGUGUCUCUCUGGCUGUUCUUAUCGUUACCAGGACUAUGUGUCUCUCUGGCUGUUCUUAUCGUUACCAGUACUAUGUGUCUGUCUGGCUGUUCUUAUCGUUACCAGUACUAUGUGUCUCUCUGGCUGUUCUUAUCGUUACCAGUACUAUGUGUCUCUCUGGCUGUUCUUAUCGUUACCAGUACUAUGUGUCUGUCUGGCUGUUCUUAUCGUUACCAGUACUAUGUGUCUCUCUGGCUGUUCUUAUCGUUACCAGUACUAUGUGUCUCUCUGGCUGUUCUUAUCGUUACCAGUACUAUGUGUCUCUCUGGCUGUUCUUAUCGUUACCAGUACUAUGUGUCUCUCUGGCUGUUCUUAUCGUUACCAGUACUAUGUGUCUCUCUGGCUGUUCUUAUCGUUACCAGUACUAUGUGUCUCUCUGGCUGUUCUUAUCGUUACCAGGACUAUGUGUCUCUCUGGCUGUUCUUAUCGUUACCAGUACUAUGUGUCUCUCUGGCUGUUCUUAUCGUUACCAGUACUAUGUGUCUCUCUGGCUGUUCUUAUCGUUACCAGGACUAUGUGUCUCUCUGGCUGUUCUUAUCGUUACCAGGACUAUGUGUCUCUCUGGCUGUUCUUAUCGUUACCAGUACUAUGUGUCUCUCUGGCUGUUCUUAUCGUUACCAGUACUAUGUGUCUCUCUGGCUGUUCUUAUUGUUACCAGGACUAUGUGUCUCUCUGGCUGUUCUUAUCGUUACCAGGACUAUGUGUCUCUCUGGCUGUUCUUAUCGUUACCAGUACUAUGUGUCUCUCUGGCUGUUCUUAUCGUUACCAGUACUAUGUGUCUCUCUGGCUGUUCUUAUCGUUACCAGUACUAUGUGUCUGUCUGGCUGUUCUUAUCGUUACCAGGACUAUGUGUCUCUCUGGCUGUUCUUAUCGUUACCAGUACUAUGUGUCUGUCUGGCUGUUCUUAUCGUUACCAGGACUAUGUGUCUCUCUGGCUGUUCUUAUCGUUACCAGUACUAUGUGUCUCUCUGGCUGUUCUUAUCGUUACCAGUACUAUGUGUCUCUCUGGCUGUUCUUAUCGUUACCAGUACUAUGUGUCUCUCUGGCUGUUCUUAUCGUUACCAGUACUAUGUGUCUCUCUGUACAGAGUAUUAAACAGGAUAUUGAAAAGCUCUUUGAUGUUUAGCACCACAGCUACAUCUGACAUGAUAUUACUUCAGCUUUUUCUCAAUGCCUAA